rnacentral:rRNA from 1 species
CUCGUAGGCGGCCAACUAAGUCCGACGUGAAAUCCCCAGGCUUAACCUGGGAACUGCGUCGGAUACUGGAUGGCUUGAAUUCGGGAGAGGGAUGCAGAAUUCCAGGUGUAGCGGUGAAAUGCGUAGAUAUCUGGAGGAAUACCGGUGGCGAAGGCGGCAUCCUGGACCGACAUUGACGCUGAUGAGCGAAAGCUAGGGGAGCAAACG